UGCCACAUCCCCGGCCCCUGCUGCUCAGAGGAGCCCAGGGCUGGGGCUCCCGGCGUGACCCGGGCCCUUCUCUGCCUGCAGGUCCACGGUGCAGGCCCUGAAAGCGCUGCUCCGCAGCGUGGGCCUGGGGAGCCCGGUGCUGGCCAUCGAGGCGCAGGGCGGCUGGGCCGCGCUUCUCAGCGCCGAGAGCCACCUCUGGGGCGUGCAGGUGGUGGCCAGGGAAAUGAAGGAGUUGCCCAGGAGCCUGCGCGCCACCAUCAUCCACCAGCUGGUUGAGCUGCUCCGCACGGAGGCCUCCUCCUGGCAGACGGUGGCCAUGGUCAUCCUCAGCAAGCUGCUGGAGUGCACAGAGCUCGGCGACGAGCUGGACU